rnacentral:rRNA from 1 species
ACGUAGGAGGCGAGCGUUGUCCGGAUUCAUUGGGCGUAAAGAGCACGCAGGCGGUUUGGCAAGUCGGAUGUGAAAACCCGGAGCUCAACUCCGGACCUGCAUCCGAAACUGCCCGACUAGAGGUAGGUAGGGGAGAUCGGAAUUCCUGGUGUAGCGGUGAAAUGCGCAGAUAUCAGGAGGAACACCUGCGGCGAAAGCGGCGCACUGGACCACAACUGACGCUGAGGCGCGAAAGCUAGGGGAGCAAACAGGA